rnacentral:misc_RNA from 1 species
GGAAAAAAGAAAUAGGACGUUUGAUCCUUUUUUGUUGGUUUCUAGGAUYGACGUAAUGAUUAAUAGGGAUAGUGGGGGGCAUUAGUAUUCAAUUGUCAGAGGUGAAAUUCUUGGAUUUAUUGAAGACUAACUACUGCGAAAGCAUUUGCCAAGGAUGUUUUCAUUAAUCAAGAACGAAAGUUAGGGGAUCGAAGAC